UACGUAGGUGGCAAGCGUUGUCCGGAAUUAUUGGGCGUAAAGCGCGCGCAGGCGGUCCUUUAAGUCUGAUGUGAAAGCCCACGGCUCAACCGUGGAGGGUCAUUGGAAACUGGGGGACUUGAGUGCAGAAGAGGAGAGUGGAAUUCCACGUGUAGCGGUGAAAUGCGUAGAGAUGUGGAGGAACACCGAUGGCGAAGGCGGGUCUCUGGGCCGAUACUGACGCUGAGGAGCGAAAGCGUGGGGAGCAAACAGG
rnacentral:rRNA from 1 species